AAAGAAACCAACAGGGAUUGCCCCAGUAACGGCGAGUGAAGCGGCAAGAGCUCAAAUUUGAAAUCUGGCUCCCUCUGGGGGUCCGAGUUGUAAUUUGCAGAGGAUGCUUUGGGUGCGGCCGCGGCGUAAGUCCCUUGGAACAGGGCGUCAUAGAGGGUGAGAAUCCCGUCUUGAGUCGCCGGUUCGCGCCCGUUUAAAGCUCCUUCGACGAGUCGAGUUGUUUGGGAAUGCAGCUCUAAGUGGGUGGUAAAUUUCAUCUAAAGCUAAAUACUGGCCGGAGACCGAUAGCGAACAAGUAGAGUGAUCGAAAGGUUAAAAGCACCUUGAAAAGGGAGUUAAAUAGCACGUGAAAUUGUUGAAAGGGAAGCGCUUGCGAUCAGACUCGAGCCCGGGGGCUCAGCGGGCAUGUUUUGCCCGUGUACUCCCCCGGGCCCGGGCCAGCAUCAGUUCUUGCGGCCGGUCAAAGGCCUCCGGAAUGUAUCAUCCUCCGGGAUGUCUUAUAGCCGGGGGUGCAAUGCGGCCAGCGGGGACUGAGGAAC
rnacentral:sRNA from 2 species